GGAGCAAUACCGCGUGAGGGAGGAAGGCUCUUGGGUUGUAAACCUCUUUUCUCAAGGAAUAAGAACUGAAGGUACUUGAGGAAUAAGCAUCGGCUAACUCCGUGCCAGCAGCCGCGGUAAUACGGAGGAUGCAAGCGUUAUCCGGAAUGAUUGGGCGUAAAGGGUCCGCAGGUGGCCCUGUAAGUCUGCUGUUAAAGAGUGAGGCUUAACCUCAUAAAAGCAGUGGAAACUACAGAGCUAGAGUGCGUUCGGGGUAGCAGGAAUUCCUGGUGUAGCGGUGAAAUGCGUAGAGAUCAGGAAGAACACCGGUGGCGAAAGCGUGCUACUAGGCCGUAACUGACACUGAGGGACGAAAGCUAGGGGAGCGAAUGCGAUUAGAAACCCAAAUCCUCCUAUCCGCAAACAGAUGUAUUCUAUGUUUUCCUUGUAUCAACCCGAGCCGUGCCGGAGCUAACGCGUUAAGUAUCCCGCCUGGGGGAGUACGCACGCAGUGUGAAACUCAAAGGAAUUGACGGGGGGCCCGCACAAGCGGUGGAGUAUGUGGUUUAAUUCGAUGCAACGCGAAGAACCUUACCAAGACUUGACAUGUCGCGAAUCCUGCUGAAAGGAAGGAUUGCUUUCGGAAGCGCGAACACAGGUGGUGCAUGGCUGUCGUCAGCUCGUGUCGAGAGAUGUUGGGUUAGUCCCGAUACGAGCCGCACCCUCGUUUUUAGUUGGCAUGAUUAAAAUGGCCCCUCUAAGAGACUGGCCGGUGACAAACGGGAGGAAGGUGGUGAUGACUCAAGUAAUCAUGCCCUCUUAACGGUCUGGGUCUACCACCGUACUAUAAUGCUUACGGU
rnacentral:rRNA from 1 species